UACGUAGGGACCGAGCGUUGUCCGGAAUCAUUGGGCGUAAAGAGCGUGUAGGCGGCUUGCUAAGUCUUGCGUGAAAUCUCGGGGCUCAACCCCGAGCGGUCGUGGGAAACUGGCAGGCUAGAGUGCGGGAGAGGAGAAUGGAAUUCCUGGGUGUAAGCGGUGAAAUGCGCAGAUAUCAGGAAGAACACCCGUGGCGAAGGCGGUUCUCUGGAACGCAACUGACGCUGAGACGCGAAAGCGUGGGGAGCAAACAGG
rnacentral:rRNA from 1 species